GCCGAUCCUUAAGGACUUUCGCCGGCGCAUCUCUCCGCCCAGGGUCCCUCGCUUUCAACACCCGACCGCGACGCCUUUCAACUCCACCUGACGCCUUUCAACUCCACCUGACGCCUUUCAACUCCACCCCGACAUCGCUUCGUAUGGAACGACCCUAAGCUCGAGAGCGCGGGGGGCGCGGACGCGCGCGACGUCGAAGGGUUGGGCGACGGCGUGAAGAGCGGCGCGGGCGCGACUCGCGGGUUGAUCGAGGCGUACACGCUGUCGCAGCCGACGCUGCAGCAGGUGCUUCUGAACCUUCAGGGGAGGUCGUGAGGCGAGAAGGAGGUAGGCGCGCUCAUAGGGCGCUCGUGUCUGUCUGUGAGAGGAUUAAACUGUAAAACUGCGCUCAUCAUGAGACUGGAGGAAAAAACAACCGACCGCGGCUUCUACCC
rnacentral:lncRNA from 1 species